rnacentral:misc_RNA from 1 species
GAAAAAUAUUAACAAAGGGAGCAAACAAAAUAGUAGCAUAAUGCAAUUGAUAAACAGAGUAGUAGCAUUAUGCAAUUGAUAUUCCUACAAAACGUCAAUUCGAAAUGCUGAUAAUUGCAUAAAGUUUCAACCAUAGUUAUGUCAAACCUACGUGUUGAACUCUAUAGUUCACUUAUCUCAGCUGGGAGAUAAUAAAGAGCUGUUUGCUUAGUUAUUUUGCUCGCCAGUGUUCCCCCUGUCCCCACUACAACAGUAGAAAUGUGGUAGCUUCACUCUUCCACAACUCCUGCAACGAAAAAUCACUGGUGUUGGUUUCAAAGCCUUUGGUCCAUUUCUUAUACCUCUCUUAUGGGGAGACACCUUCUUCUUGGGGACAGCCAUCAGUUCCAUGGAUCCACCGGAAGAGAAACUCGGGAGCCCAGACUCUAAGUUGUUGAUGUAUCUGCUACUGCUGUUAUCUGGGUUCGGAUCAAACUCCGGCGAAACCAUCUGUGGAGGAGCGAUCGUCCGGUGGAGGGACCCAUCCAACAGUGGAGGCAUUAUGUGGAACCACCUCAAGAGCGCUAACAUGCAUCAGUUGUCACCGCCGGCGGCUUUUAGCAUACCUAAUCGCUGCGCCAUUGACACAAAGGAUGGGGAAGCUCGCUUCUCUGUUUAUGCACCAGAGGCGAUGACGGCGUUGGAUGUGGAGAACGGCGGUGCAUAAAACGGCGUCGUAAAGAAGCGAAAUGGAGGGAGCGGCGAAGAAGGUUGAAUGCCAAUUAAAACAGCGUCGUUUCAAAC